CCAAAGGCUCUUUUCAGAGCCACUUUCAUUUUCACCGAGAGCGGCU
rfam:Canis lupus familiaris chromosome 35, whole genome shotgun sequence.